rnacentral:rRNA from 1 species
UACGUAGGCAGCGAGCGUUGUUCGGAGUUACUGGGCGUAAAGGGUGUGUAGGCGGUUGUUUUAAGUUUGGUGUGAAAUCUCCCGGCUCAACUGGGAGGGUGCGCCGAAUACUGAAUGACUUCGAGUACGGGAGAGGUGAGUGGAAUUCCUGGUGUAGCGGUGAAAUGCGUAGAUAUCGGGAGGAACACCAGUGGCGAAGGCGACUACCUGGCCUGUUCUUGACGCUGAGGCGCGAAAGCUAGGGGAGCAAACGGGG